CCUACGGGGGGCAGCAGUGAGGAAUAUUGGUCAAUGGGCGCGAGCCUGAACCAGCCAAGUAGCGUGAAGGAUGACUGCCCUACGGGUUGUAAACUUCUUUUAUAAAGGAAUAAAGUGAGGCACGUGUGCCUUUUUGUAUGUACUUUAUGAAUAAGGAUCGGCUAACUCCGUGCCAGCAGCCGCGGUAAUACGGAGGAUCCGAGCGUUAUCCGGAUUUAUUGGGUUUAAAGGGAGCGUAGAUGGGUUGUUAAGUCAGUUGUGAAAGUUUGCGGCGCAACCGUAAAAUUGCAAUUGAUACUGGCAGCCUUGAGUACAGUUGAGGUAGGCGGAAUUCGUGGUGUAGCGGUGAAAUGCAUAGAUAUCACGCAGAACUCCGAUUGCGAAGGCAGCUUACUAAACUAUAACUGACACUGAAGCACGAAAGCGUGGGGAUCAAACAGGAUUAGAUACCCGUGUAGUC
rnacentral:rRNA from 1 species